GGAGUUUGGUCCGUUUCUCAAUUCCAAUGUGGCUGAUUGUCCUCUCAAACCAGCUAGAGAUCGUCGCCUUGGUGGUCCAUUACACCGCCAACUAGCUAAUCAGAUGCAGGCUCAUCCUAGAGCACCGGAGUUUUCAAGAUUAGUAUUUCAACUAAGCUCAUAUGGGGUAUUAGCAGAAGUUUCCCUCUGUUGUCCCCCUCUCUAGGGCAGAUUUCCUACAUAUUACUCACCCGUCCGCCACUUUCCACUGACCGAAGUCAGCUUCUCGUUCGACUUGCAUGUAUGAAGCACGCCGCCAGCGUUCGUC
rnacentral:rRNA from 1 species